UAUAAAUAUAGCUUAAUUAAAGCGCUGAUUUUGUAAAUCAGUGAUGUCUAACUAUUUAUAU
rnacentral:tRNA from 1 species